UACGAAGGGUGCAAGCGUUACUCGGAAUUACUGGGCGUAAAGCGUGCGUAGGUGGUUGUUUAAGUCUGUUGUGAAAGCCCUGGGCUCAACCUGGGAACUGCAGUGGAAACUGGACAACUAGAGUGUGGUAGAGGGUAGCGGAAUUCCCGGUGUAGCAGUGAAAUGCGUAGAGAUCGGGAGGAACAUCCAUGGCGAAGGCAGCUACCUGGACCAACACUGACACUGAGGCGCGAAAGCGUGGGGAGCGAACAGG
rnacentral:rRNA from 1 species